ACGUAGGACGCGAGCGUUAUCCGGAAUUACUGGGCGUAAAGGGCCAGCAGGCGGCUUGGUAAGUUGUGCGUGAAAGCCUCGUGCUCAACGCGAGGAAGCCGGACAAUACGGUCAAGCUAGAGGGCAUCAGAGGGGACUGGAAUUCCCGGAGUAGCGGUAAAAUGCGCAGAUAUCGGGAGGAACACCGAUGGCGAAGGCAGCUCCCUGGGAUGCACCUGACGCUAAGAGGCGAAAGCUAGGGGAGCGAACAGGAUUAGAGACCCUGGUAGUCCUAGCUGUAAACGCUGGGUGCUAGGUGUGGGACGUAGAAGUUCCGUGCCGGAGCAAACGCGAUAAGCACCCCGCCUGGGAAUUACGGUCGCAAGGCUAAAACUCAAACGAAUUGACGGGGCCCCGCACAAGCAGCGGAGCGUGUGGUUCAAUUCGAUGCUACACGAAGAACCUUACCUGGGUUUGACAUGUACGUGGUACGAAGGCGAAAGCAUAAGGACCCUUCGGGGAGCGUACACAGGUGCUGCAUGGCUGUAGUCAGCUCGUGCCGUGAGGUGUCGGGUUAAGUCCCGUAACGAGCGCAACCCUUGCCGUUAGUUACAAGUGUCUAAGGGGACUGCCGGCGGGAAGCCGGAGGAAGCUGGGGAAGACGUCAAGUCAGCAUGGCCCGUAUGUCCAGGGCUACACACACGCUACAAUGGUCAGUACAAAGGGUAGCGAAGUCGCGAGGCGGAGCGAAUCUCAACAAAGCUGAUCGUAGUUCGGAUUGCAGGCUGCAACCCGCCUGCAUGAAGCUGGAGUUGUUAGUAACCGCGCGUCAGCCAUAGUGCGGUGAAUACGUACCCGGGGCUUGUACACACCGCCCGUCAAGUCAUGGGAGUCGGUAACGCCUGAAGCCGGUAGUCUGGCCC
rnacentral:rRNA from 1 species